UGGGGAAUCUUGCACAAUGCGCGAAAGCGUGAUGCAGCAACGCCGCGUGGGGGAAGAAGGCCUUCGGGUUGUAAACCCCUUUCAGUUGGGACGAAGCUUCUGCGGUGAACAGCCGUACGGAGUGACGGUACCUUCAGAAGAAGCCCCGGCUAACUACGUGCCAGCAGCCGCGGUAAUACGUAGGGGGCAAGCGUUGUCCGGAAUUAUUGGGCGUAAAGCGCGUGUAGGCGGCUCGGUAAGUCUGCUGUGAAAGUCCAGGGCUCAACCCUGGAAUGCCGGUGGAUACUGUCGAGCUCGAGUCCGGAAGAGGCGAGUGGAAUUCCUGGUGUAGCGGUGAAAUGCGCAGAUAUCAGGAGGAACACCAAUGGCGAAGGCAGCUCGCUGGGACGGUACUGACGCUGAGACGCGAAAGCGUGGGGAGCAAACA
rnacentral:rRNA from 1 species